rnacentral:rRNA from 1 species
GCCUGGCGGCGUGCUAUACAUGCAAGUCGAGCGAACAGAAAAGGAGCUUGCUCCUUUGACGUUAGCGGCGGACGGGUGAGUAACACGUGGGCAACCUACCCUAUAGUUUGGGAUAACUCCGGGAAACCGGGGCUAAUACCGAAUAAUCUCUUUUGCUUCAUGGUGAAAGACUGAAAGACGGUUUCGGCUGUCGCUAUAGGAUGGGCCCGCGGCGCAUUAGCUAGUUGGUGAGGUAACGGCUCACCAAGGCGACGAUGCGUAGCCGACCUGAGAGGGUGAUCGGCCACACUGGGACUGAGACACGGCCCAGACUCCUACGGGAGGCAGCAGUAGGGAAUCUUCCACAAUGGGCGAAAGCCUGAUGGAGCAACGCCGCGUGAGUGAAGAAGGUUUUCGGAUCGUAAAACUCUGUUGUAAGGGAAGAACAAGUACAGUAGUAACUGGCUGUACCUUGACGGUACCUUAUUAGAAAGCCACGGCUAACUACGUGCCAGCAGCCGCGGUAAUACGUAGGUGGCAAGCGUUGUCCGGAAUUAUUGGGCGUAAAGCGCGCGCAGGCGGUCCUUUAAGUCUGAUGUGAAAGCCCACGGCUCAACCGUGGAGGGUCAUUGGAAACUGGGGGACUUGAGUGCAGAAGAGGAAAGUGGAAUUCCAAGUGUAGCGGUGAAAUGCGUAGAGAUUUGGAGGAACACCAGUGGCGAAGGCGACUUUCUGGUCUGUAACUGACGCUGAGGCGCGAAAGCGUGGGGAGCAAACAGGAUUAGAUACCCUGGUAGUCCACGCCGUAAACGAUGAGUGCUAAGUGUUAGGGGGUUUCCGCCCCUUAGUGCUGCAGCUAACGCAUUAAGCACUCCGCCUGGGGAGUACGGUCGCAAGACUGAAACUCAAAGGAAUUGACGGGGGCCCGCACAAGCGGUGGAACAUUGGGGUUAAUUCCAAACAACGCGAAGAACCUUACCAGGGCUUUGAAUCCCCGGUGACACCUGGAAAAGAAUAAGUUUCCCCUUCGGGGGGAACGGGGACAGGGGGGGCAUUGGUUUCCCCCACCUCGGCCCGAGAGAUUUGGGU